UCUGCUGUCAUAGCAGCGAAUUCCAAAUUUUUUGGGAUGAAAAAAAGAUUUGUAGUGAACUUCCCAAACGCUACAGGAUACGAACAAGAACAAGAACUUGAUGUUCGUAAGCCCAUUAAAUCUGCGGGAGGUUUCUAUAUAUUUGCUGCUAAGCCAAGUGAAAAUGGCUAUAUAAAAGCAGUCAGGUUUGAGACUCAGUCUGUUCAAGUUGGUGAUCCUGUUCAUUCAUUUGUUUUCCCUAGAGAAGGGUAUAUUACACCAACCGGUUAUUGCAGAGGUUCAGUAAUAGAUGUUUGUUGCAGAGUUCUAUUUCAUGAUUGCGAUAUGCAUGAGUACGCUUACUUAGGAUCACCAUUGUUCAAUUUGUCUGGUGAUCUAGUGGGGAUAACAUAUCUUGAUCAGGGACACUGGCAAGCAUGGACUGUUUGGGAGCUACUAGAUACUUUUAAAAAAUGGAAAAGUACCAUUGUUUCCAAGGGAAUUGAAGAACCUGCAGGGGCAGAACCUCAAGUGGAAGAAUAAAACAUCUAGGAGCAGGGCUGACUAUUGGUGGGAGAUAGCCUGAGCAGCAGCAUAUGCAAGAUGUCACGCAUCUCAAGAAGUCUCAGGCAGCUGCGGUUGUGGAGUUUGAGUUGCAGCCUACUAGUGUACGUGUUGAUUUAGGUUUGAUUUUUGAACUAUUAUGUGACUUUUUUAGGAACCAUUUAUCCCGCCGAGCUGUUGACUGCUAUGAGGUAUUAAUGUGAUGCGAUCUGGUGAACUCUUUUCACAUUCAUGGAUGUUAAACAAUUUCUAUUAGGGUUUUAUCAUUGUAUUGUUGUGGGAGAUGUUUAUAUAAUGUUUGCAAAUGCAUAGUACGUUCACAUUUCUUUAAA